rnacentral:rRNA from 1 species
GAUGAACGCUGGCGGCGUGCCUAAUACAUGCAAGUAGAACGCUGAAGGAGGAGCUUGCUCUUCUGGAUGAGUUGCGAACGGGUGAGUAACGCGUAGGUAACCUGCCUGGUAGCGGGGGAUAACUAUUGGAAACGAUAGCUAAUACCGCAUGACAACAGUUAUUGCAUGAUAACUGUUUAAAAGGGGCAACUGCUCCACUACCAGAUGGACCUGCGUUGUAUUAGCUAGUUGGUGAGGUAACGGCUCACCAAGGCGACGAUACAUAGCCGACCUGAGAGGGUGAUCGGCCACACUGGGACUGAGACACGGCCCAGACUCCUACGGGAGGCAGCAGUAGGGAAUCUUCGGCAAUGGACGGAAGUCUGACCGAGCAACGCCGCGGGAGUGAAGAAGGUUUUCGGAUCGUAAAGCUCUGUUGUAAGAGAAGAACGAGUGUGAGAGUGGAAAGUUCACACUGUGACGGUAGCUUACCAGAAAGGGACGGCUAACUACGUG